CCCAGUUCUUAAUAUCAACCAAAUAGGCUCUGUUCAGUUCAUCUACCAUACAUGGAGGAACACUUGCUUACUCACUUUUGAUUUCCUAGAAAAAUUCAGAGAUGCUUUUAUACCGUACUUGGCAUGGAUUGUUUCUACCUGUCUGGAAUCCCUCUCGUCAUCUGAUAACAGCAGUUCAUGAAGAAUCACUCCUCUCCUGCCAGAUACAGUCUUAGUGGACCUUAGUCUUAGCAUGGGGGCAGCUGGCCCUUAAAACCCUGUGUGUGGAUUCUUGAAAAAGCCAGAUUCUACUUCCACAACUUCUCUUUGCCUCCCUGCUCCUCCCCCCCCCCCCCCCCCACCAGCUUCCAGGUCACAGGCCUGCAAGCUACUGGCUUUGGUGACAGAGUCCCUCCCAGGCCUGGCCCGUCUUGAGCAAAUACCAGGGAACCUCCAGGAAGGGCUGUGUGUUCUCCCAGUGGCCCCAAGUGUCUCUCUUCCUUUGUUUCAGGGCACAGGAGGAGCAAAAGCUUGAAAUAACAGACUUCAGUGAGUUCAGCUCUUUCCCCGGGACCACACUGCCCAUCGGUGACACCCCAGGGCAGCCUAAUUUUGCCAUAAAUCCCUUUGGACGGAGACGUCUUCCGCGAAGGGGUGCUGGGAAACCUCACGUGGACUCAGCGACGUUUGCUUCCUUUUCCGGCUGACGUGUCAUCUGAGAACAAUGUCAAAAGUUGGUGUUUUUCUGGAAAAACUCUUGGAAAGUUGAAGAAACAGACCUAUGUGAGAAGAAAGAACUUUGGAAACAGGAGUCUCUGGCAUCGCCUUUCGGCGGGGUGGGGGUGGAGGGGUCAAGCCCAGACUCGCCUCCUCCCUCCAAGCCUGUUACUUUGGGGACUUUGAGGAAAGUCAACCACAGUUCUGGUUCAUCCAUCCACUCUGAGGCCCAGCGUGUUCGGGGCUCAGAUCUAACUCUGCUACCUACGGCCUGGGUGCCCUUUGGCAAGUUAUUUAAUUUCCUGAGCCUCAGUCUUGUCAUCUGUGAAUUGGGGAUAAUAAUAAAAACUACAGCAGCAUAAGGCUGCAGGGAGGACUGACUGAA